GGUCUGACAUCCAUAGAUUCUGCAGAGAUGUGGGAGUGCUUCGGGAACUAUGAGACAGGUGCUGCAUGGCUGUCGUCAGCUCGUGUUGUGAAAUGUUGGGUUAAGUCCCGCAACGAGCGCAACCCUUAUUCUUUGUUGCCAGCGAUUUGGUCGGGAACUCAAAGGAGACUGCCGUUGAUAAAGCGGAGGAAGGUGGGGACGACGUCAAGUCAUCAUGGCCCUUACGACCAGGGCUACACACGUGCUACAAUGGCGUAUACAAAGGGAAGCGAAGGUGCGAGCUGGAGCGGAUCUCAUAAAGUACGUCUAAGUUCGGAUUGGAGUCUGCAACUCGACUCCAUGAAGUCGGAAUCGCUAGUAAUCGUAGAUCAGAAUGCUACGGUGAAUACGUUCCCGGGCCUUGUACACACCGCCCGUCACACCAUGGGAGUGGGUUGCACCAGAAGUAGAUAGCUUAACCGCGAGGGGGGCGUUUACCACGGUGUGAUUCAUGACUGGGGUGAAGUCGUAACAAGGUAACCA
rnacentral:rRNA from 1 species